AUUCCAGCUCCAAUAGCGUAUAUUAAAGUUGCUGCAGUUAAAAAGCUCGUAGUUGGAUUUGUGGCGCGGCCGUCCGGCGGGGCUCCUUCAUUGGGGCCGUUUGUCUGGUUUUUCGGCCGCUCCAUUCUCGGGUAGUGUGUCGCUGGCAUUAGGUUGUCGGCUUCUUCACGCCCGUCGUUUACUGUGAAAAAAUUAGAGUGUUCAAAGCAGGCUUAGGCCAUUGGAUACAUUAGCAUGGAAUAAUGAGAUAGGGCCACGACGGUCUAUUUUGUUGGUUUGCACGUUGUGGUAAUGAUUAACAGGAACGGUUGGGGGUAUUCGUAUUCAAUUGUCAGAGGUGAAAUUCUUGGAUUUAUGGAAGACGAACUACUGCGAAAGCAUUACCAAGGAUGUUUUCAUUG
rnacentral:rRNA from 1 species